UACGGAGGGUGCGAGCGUUAAUCGGAAUUACUGGGCGUAAAGGGUGCGUAGGUGGUUUGAUAAGUUAGCUGUGAAAUUCCUGGGCUUAACCUGGGAUGGUCAGCUAAGACUGUUGGACUAGAGUAUGGGAGAGGGUAGUGGAAUUUCCGGUGUAGCGGUGAAAUGCGUAGAGAUCGGAAGGAACAUCGGUGGCGAAGGCGGCUACCUGGCCUAAUACUGACACUGAGGCACGAAAGCGUGGGGAGCAAACAGG
rnacentral:rRNA from 1 species